UACAGAGGUCUCAAGCGUUGUUCGGAUUCAUUGGGCGUAAAGGGUGCGUAGGUGGCGCCGUAAGUCAGGUGUGAAAUCUCGGGGCUCAACCCCGAAACUGCACUUGAUACUGCGGUGCUCGAGUACUGGAGAGGAGAUUGGAAUUCAUGGUGUAGCAGUGAAAUGCGCAGAUAUCAGGAGGAACACCGGUGGCGAAGGCGGGUCUCUGGGCCGAUACUGACGCUGAGGAGCGAAAGCGUGGGGAGCGAACAGG
rnacentral:rRNA from 1 species